UAGGGAAUCUUCCGCAAUGGACGAAAGUCUGACGGAGCAACGCCGCGUGAGUGAAGAAGGAUUUCGGUUCGUAAAACUCUGUUGUUAGGGAAGAAAAAAUGUAUAGUAACUAUAUACAAAAGAGACGGUACCUAACCAGAAAGCCACGGCUAACUACGUGCCAGCAGCCGCGGUAAUACGUAGGUGGCAAGCGUUGUCCGAAAUUAUUGGGCGUAAAGCGCGCGCAGGUGGUUUAGAAAGUCUGAUGUGAAAGCCCACGGCUCAACCGUGGAGGGUCAUUGGAAACUAAUAAACUUGAGUGCAGGAGAGAAAAGUGGAAUUCCUAGUGUAGCGAUGAAAUGCGUAGAGAUUAGGAGGAACACCGGUGGCGAAAGCGGCUAUCUGGACAGUAACUGACGCUGAGGCGCGAAAGCGUGGGUAGCAAACAGG
rnacentral:rRNA from 1 species